GACGUAGGGCGCGAGCGUUGUCCGGAUUUAUUGGGCGUAAAGAGCUCGUAGGCGGCUUGUCGCGUCGACCGUGAAACCUCACAGCUCAACUGUGAGCCUGCGGUCGAUACGGGCAGGCUAGAGUUCGGUAGGGGAGACUGGAAUUCCUGGUGUAGCGGUGAAAUGCGCAGAUAUCAGGAGGAACACCGGUGGCGAAGGCGGGUCUCUGGGCCGAUACUGACGCUGAGGAGCGAAAGCAUGGGUAGCGAACAGG
rnacentral:rRNA from 1 species